CCUGGGGUUUGGGUUGCAAUUCCCCCAUUUGGGGGUUGCAAUUCCCUGGUUUGGGGGUUGCAAUCCCCUGGGGUUUGGGUUGCAAUUCCCAGGUUUUGGGUUGCAAUUCCCAGGUUUGGGGGUUGCGAUCCCUUGGGGUUUGGGUUGCAAUUCCCAGGUUUUGGGUUGCAAUUCCCAGGUUUGGGGGUUGCAAUUCCCCAGUUUCUGGGUUGCAAUUCCCAGGUUUUGGGUUGCAAUUCCCUGGGUUUGGGGGUUGCAAUUCCCCAGUUUCCGGGUUGCAAUUCCCCCAUUCGGGGGUUGCGAUUCCCUGUUUUUUUGGGUUGCAACCCCCCGGUUUUGGGUGCAAUCCCCCCGUCACCCCCGUCACCCCCGUGUCCGUCCGUCCCCCCAGUGCGGCUUCUUCAAGCGGGACUACAGGGAGCGGCUGGACCAGGACGCGGCCGGCGCCGGGACGGGGGACGACGGGGACAACGGGGACGACGAUAACGGGGACGAUGAUAACGGGGGCGAUAACGGGGACAAUGAUGGGGACACUGGGGACGCCCCCGCGGGGGACACGGACGGGGACCUCGGCCGUGGGGGGCAGGAGCCGCUGCAGGGGGGCGAAGGAGCCCCGUGAGCCGGCGACCGCCCGGCCUUCAUCCUCCAUCUCCAUCCUCCUCCAUCCCCAUCCUCCAUCUCUCCAUCUCCAUCUCUCCAUCCUUCUUCCAUUCCUCCAUCUCCAUCUCUCCAUCCUCCAUCUCUCCAUCCUCCAUCUCUCCGUCCUCCAUCUCCAUCUCUCCAUCUCUCCAUCCUCCAUCUCCAUCCUCCAUCCUCUCCAUCCUCCAUCUCUCCAUCCUCCAUCUCCAUCCCUCCAUCCUCCUCCCUCUCCCCCACGGUCUCACAUUAAAGCGGCUCCCGGCCACGCAAGGGGCCCAGGCGUCCGGGCGGGAGAAGCCACCAGCCGCCUCCUGCCUCUGCUUUUAUUGGGCGGCGCCGCGGGGGCCCCGGGCUGCAGCCGGUCGCGGCGGCGCCGGCGGUUCGGGGCGGAAAAGGGCCCUUUUGGGGGCCGCUGCGGAGGCCCCGAGGUGGCUCCAGGGGGCCGGACGGGCGCUCGGGGCUCCCGCCGUGGGGCCGGGUGCUG
rnacentral:lncRNA from 1 species